GGAAUCUUGUGCAAUGGGCGAAAGCCUGACACAGCCACGCCGCGUGCGGGAAGAAGGCCUUCGGGUUGUAAACCGCUUUCAGCAGGAACGAAAACGACGGUACCUGCAGAAGAAGAUGCGGCCAACUACGUGCCAGCAGCCGCGGUGAUACGUAGGCAUCAAGCGUUGUCCGGAUUUAUUGGGCGUAAAGAGCUCGUAGGCGGUUCAGCAAGUCGGGUGUGAAAACUCCGGGCUUAACCCAGAGCCUGCACUCGAAACUGCUGUGACUAGAGUUCGGUAGGGGAGCAGGGAAUUCCUAGUGUAGCGGUGAAAUGCGCAGAUAUUAGGAGGAACACCAAUGGCGAAGGCACUGCUCUGGGCCGAUACUGACGCUGAGGAGCGAGAGCGUGGGUAGCAAACGGGAUUAGAUACCCUGGUAGUCCACGCCGUAAACGAUGGGCACUAGGUGUGGGUCUCUAACCAACGAGAUCUGCGCCGUCGCUAACGCAUUAAGUGCCCCGCCUGGGGAGUACGGUCGCAAGACUAAAACUCAAAUGAAUUGACGG
rnacentral:rRNA from 1 species